GGGAUUAUAGCUUAGAGGUAGAGUGCCUGGUUAGCAGGCAUGAGGCCCUGGAUUCUAUCUCCAAUAAUUCUU
rnacentral:tRNA from 1 species